UGCGCCUCACUUGCUAGCACGUCUAGAUCAGCCAGGGCGUAGGCAUGUGUAUCGUAUUUUGUCGGGUUUCGAGAUCAAGAAUCGAUGUCCCUUUGUUGGUUGGUUUUCCGAGAAUCCUUGACCCUUGAUUUGUUACUUUCGCAUCGUUCGGUGCAUUCUGGGGGAUGUUUUGGCUUUUGGUGGCUUACUUGGCCUUUUGGCUGGGUUUGUUGCUAUUGGUCGGGCGGCUUUCGGGAAUGUCGACCGUGGAGGUGCAUGAGUGGUGUUUGGUUUGUUACGUGUGGAUGGCUGUUUGCUUGCGCAACAACGUUCACGCUGCAUACCUCUUCAGUUUUGCGGCAAGGCUUGGUUUGGCUUGUGCAUAUUGUGGGUUUCCUGUGUUGCAUACCUAGUUGAAGGAAAAGUGUGGGUUUUACGAUUUUCAUUUUCGUCUUGCGUCGUUCUUUCGGCAUGGGAUGAGCAAUGAAGCGAUCUUUAUGAUCCAUCGUGCUGUUGUGUUUGCAACAAUGAUGUGGCCUAUGAAGCAUCGUUUGGUCUCUUGUAUACGGAAGCUCAUUUGGGCUUGGGUCUUUAUAAGAUCUUUGUUAUGCCCUUGUUAAGCGUUCUCGCUUCUCCUAAACGAUUG
rnacentral:misc_RNA from 1 species